rnacentral:rRNA from 1 species
AUCAUUAACUGAAUCCAUAGGUUAAUGAGGCGAACCGGGGGAACUGAAACAUCUAAGUACCCCGAGGAAAAGAAAUCAACCGAGAUUCCCCCAGUAGCGGCGAGCGAACGGGGAGGAGCCCAGAGCCUGAAUCAGUGUGUGUGUUAGUGGAAGCGUCUGGAAAGGCGCGCGAUACAGGGUGACAGCCCCGUACACAAAAAUGCACAUACUGUGAGCUCGAUGAGUAGGGCGGGACACGUGGUAUCCUGUCUGAAUAUGGGGGGACCAUCCUCCAAGGCUAAAUACUCCUGACUGACCGAUAGUGAACCAGUACCGUGAGGGAAAGGCGAAAAGAACCCCGGCGAGGGGAGUGAAAAAGAACCUGAAACCGUGUACGUACAAGCAGUGGGAGCCUCUUAAUGGGGUGACUGCGUACCUUUUGUAUAAUGGGUCAGCGACUUAUAUUCUGUAGCAAGGUUAACCGAAUAGGGGAGCCGAAGGGAAACCGAGUCUUAACUGGGCGUUAAGUUGCAGGGUAUAGACCCGAAACCCGGUGAUCUAGCCAUGGGCAGGUUGAAGGUUGGGUAACACUAACUGGAGGACCGAACCGACUAAUGUUGAAAAAUUAGCGGAUGACUUGUGGCUGGGGGUGAAAGGCCAAUCAAACCGGGAGAUAGCUGGUUCUCCCCGAAAGCUAUUUAGGUAGCGCCUCGUGAAUUCAUCUCCGGGGGUAGAGCACUGUUUCGGCAAGGGGGUCAUCCCGACUUACCAACCCGAUGCAAACUGCGAAUACCGGAGAAUGUUAUCACGGGAGACACACGGCGGGUGCUAACGUCCGUCGUGAAGAGGGAAACAACCCAGACCGCCAGCUAAGGUCCCAAAGUCAUGGUUAAGUGGGAAACGAUGUGGGAAGGCCCAGACAGCCAGGAUGUUGGCUUAGAAGCAGCCAUCAUUUAAAGAAAGCGUAAUAGCUCACUGGUCGAGUCGGCCUGCGCGGAAGAUGUAACGGGGCUAAACCAUGCACCGAAGCUGCGGCAGCGACACUAUGUGUUGUUGGGUAGGGGAGCGUUCUGUAAGCCUGUGAAGGUGUACUGUGAGGUAUGCUGGAGGUAUCAGAAGUGCGAAUGCUGACAUAAGUAACGAUAAAGCGGGUGAAAAGCCCGCUCGCCGGAAGACCAAGGGUUCCUGUCCAACGUUAAUCGGGGCAGGGUGAGUCGACCCCUAAGGCGAGGCCGAAAGGCGUAGUCGAUGGGAAACAGGUUAAUAUUCCUGUACUUGGUGUUACUGCGAAGGGGGGACGGAGAAGGCUAUGUUGGCCGGGCGACGGUUGUCCCGGUUUAAGCGUGUAGGCUGGUUUUCCAGGCAAAUCCGGAAAAUCAAGGCUGAGGCGUGAUGACGAGGCACUACGGUGCUGAAGCGACAAAUGCCCUGCUUCCAGGAAAAGCCUCUAAGCAUCAGGUAACAUCAAAUCGUACCCCAAACCGACACAGGUGGUCAGGUAGAGAAUACCAAGGCGCUUGAGAGAACUCGGGUGAAGGAACUAGGCAAAAUGGUGCCGUAACUUCGGGAGAAGGCACGCUGAUAUGUAGGUGAAGCGACUUGCUCGUGGAGCUGAAAUCAGUCGAAGAUACCAGCUGGCUGCAACUGUUUAUUAAAAACACAGCACUGUGCAAACACGAAAGUGGACGUAUACGGUGUGACGCCUGCCCGGUGCCGGAAGGUUAAUUGAUGGGGUUAGCGGUAACGCGAAGCUCUUGAUCGAAGCCCCGGUAAACGGCGGCCGUAACUAUAACGGUCCUAAGGUAGCGAAAUUCCUUGUCGGGUAAGUUCCGACCUGCACGAAUGGCGUAAUGAUGGCCAGGCUGUCUCCACCCGAGACUCAGUGAAAUUGAACUCGCUGUGAAGAUGCAGUGUACCCGCGGCAAGACGGAAAGACCCCGUGAACCUUUACUAUAGCUUGACACUGAACAUUGAGCCUUGAUGUGUAGGAUAGGUGGGAGGCUUUGAAGUGUGGACGCCAGUCUGCAUGGAGCCGACCUUGAAAUACCACCCUUUAAUGUUUGAUGUUCUAACGUGGGCCCCUUACCGGGGUUGCGGACAGUGUCUGGUGGGUAGUUUGACUGGGGCGGUCUCCUCCUAAAGAGUAACGGAGGAGCACGAAGGUUGGCUAAUCCUGGUCGGACAUCAGGAGGUUAGUGCAAUGGCAUAAGCCAGCUUGACUGCGAGCGUGACGGCGCGAGCAGGUGCGAAAGCAGGUCAUAGUGAUCCGGUGGUUCUGAAUGGAAGGGCCAUCGCUCAACGGAUAAAAGGUACUCCGGGGAUAACAGGCUGAUACCGCCCAAGAGUUCAUAUCGACGGCGGUGUUUGGCACCUCGAUGUCGGCUCAUCACAUCCUGGGGCUGAAGUAGGUCCCAAGGGUAUGGCUGUUCGCCAUUUAAAGUGGUACGCGAGCUGGGUUUAGAACGUCGUGAGACAGUUCGGUCCCUAUCUGCCGUGGGCGCUGGAGAACUGAGGGGGGCUGCUCCUAGUACGAGAGGACCGGAGUGGACGCAUCACUGGUGUUCGGGUUGUCAUGCCAAUGGCACUGCCCGGUAGCUAAAUGCGGAAGAGAUAAGUGCUGAAAGCAUCUAAGCACGAAACUUGCCCCGAGAUGAGUUCUCCCUGACUCCUUGAGAGUCCUGAAGGAACGUUGAAGACGACGACGUUGAUAGGCCGGGUGUGUAAGCGCAGCGAUGCGUUGAGCUAACCGGUACUAAUGAACCGUGAGGCUUAACCUU